UUGACCAAACUGUAACGGUGCAUAAAUCCCAGGGAAGAUUUGAAAAAACGAAAGUCAUACAAAAAUGGCCUAAUCAAAUGAGGACACAAAAGCGAGGAACCAGUUGUGAAAUUUACCCAUUUAGGGUGAAAAUGCACAAAUUCACCCAUUUAGAGCGCCGUUGGAUUUGUUUCUUUUUUAACCAAAAAAAAAAUCAUUAAAACUCAUUUACUGCUUAAAAACAAAGGAUAUUCCAUCUUUGAACCACCCCUUGUUCUUCUUCGACAGAUCAAAGAGAAGCAGCUCAACCGCCAUUUUGAGCCAAGCUUCGAUUUUAGAGAGGGCUUCUCCGGCGCCACGACGGUGGGUUCAGUUUUUCGUAGGUAUGGAGGCGCGAGCGUAACACCUACAUGGAGCGAACGUGGAGGCGCGAAAUGCGGGUGUGGUGUGAGGGUGGAGGCGGCGCCGGCCAAAGGGAGUGCCUAAGUGCUAGGGUUUGCUGUUUCUGAAAAAAAAAUUUGGGCCAUAGUAUUGGGCUUAAGGUUUUGGGUUAGUUUGGGGUUUGUAUUGGGUUUGUUAUUUAGUGAUUUGGGCCGGGUAAUUUUGGCUCAUUACAAAGUUAAUUCAAUUUAAUAACAAGAGUAAUCAAUAA